GAUGAACGCUGGCGGCGUGCCUAAUACAUGCAAGUCGAGCGAACAGACGAGGAGCUUGCUCCUCUGACGUUAGCGGCGGACGGGUGAGUAACACGUGGAUAACCUACCUAUAAGACUGGGAUAACUUCGAGAAACCGGAGCUAAUACCGGAUAAUAUAUUGAACCGCAUGGUUCAAUAGUGAAAGACGGUUUUGCUGUCACUUAUAGAUGGAUCCGCGCCGCAUUAGCUAGUUGGUAAGGUAACGGCUUACCAAGGCGACGAUGCGUAGCCGACCUGAGAGGGUGAUCGGCCACACUGGAACUGAGACACGGUCCAGACUCCUACGGGAGGCAGCAGUAGGGAAUCUUCCGCAAUGGGCGAAAGCCUGACGGAGCAACGCCGCGUGAGUGAUGAAGGUCUUCGGAUCGUAAAACUCUGUUAUUAGGGAAGAACAAAUGUGUAAGUAACUAGGCACGUCUUGACGGUACCUAAUCAGAAAGCCACGGCUAACUACGUG
rnacentral:rRNA from 1 species